rnacentral:rRNA from 1 species
GUCCACGCCGUAAACGAUGGGUGCUGGGUGUCGCGGGUAUUGACCCCCGCGGUGCCGUAGCUAACGCGUUAAGCACCCCGCCUGGGAAGUACGGCCGCAAGGCUAAAACUCAAAGGAAUUGACGGGGGCCCGCACAAGCAGUGGAGCAUGUGGUUUAAUUCGACGCAACGCGCAGAACCUUACCCGGGCUAGAAAAGCACGGAAUCCGGUAGAAAUACUGGGGUGCCCGCAAGGGAACCGUGAUCCAGGUGCUGCAUGGCUGUCGU